CGGGGCGUAGCUCAGCAUGGUAGAGCGCUCCUUUCGGGUGGGAGAGGUCGGCAGUUCGAAUCUGCCCGCCCCGACCA
rnacentral:tRNA from 6 species